GGCAUCUGAGCGCCGGCUCCGCGGAGGCGUCUCUUGCAAUUGCUGGGAAAUAGGAAUGAGAGUUUUAAGGCUGUUUUAACAACCAAAUCAGAUUAAAUAAAUUAACAUGUUUAAAUUGUUAUCAAUUGUUCCUUCAGUUGCUUUAGGACGAUUGGAGAGGAGCCUCGGUCCACAAGACCGGAAGCCUGAGGAGUGCAGCUUUGUCCCCAAGGUCACAGUGACUGGCUUUCUGCUGCCGGCUGUAAAGCACAUGCGGACCGAAACCCCCCUUCGGAAGUGUUUGAAAACUGCAAGAUUUCACCCUCUCCAUCACCAAGCCAAGGGAAACAUAACCAAAAGGGUUUUCUUCCCGAUGGCGAAGGCAUGAUAGGUUAGUGAUUCGUGGUAGAAUUAUUGCCCUCCGCGCGGAGGCCUGAUUCUAUUCCCAGUUUGUUCUCUUCUUUCCCUGCUUAUUAAAAUUUGUAAUUGCCAUUUAAAUAUCUAACUGCCCCUCACAACUGCACCCAGUGUGUAGGUUUCGGGGUGGGGGUUUUUUUUUUUCCUUUUUUUAAUUUUAUUGAGACAGGGUCUCGCUAUGUUGCCUGCCUGGGUCUUCCAAAGUGCAGUGACUACAGGCGUGAGCUACCGCGCCUAGCCCACCAGUGUAUUGAUAUUUAUUUUUCUAUCCCUAGUUUUGUUUUCUGUUUGAUUCUGGUGAUUCCUUUUUCCAAAGUGAGUUGGCAACCUGUGGUAGCCAAAGAAGUAGGCAACUGCUCGUAGGUUUUUUCUUAAAUUACGAGGUAGUCUGAACGCAUCUCCUGUAAGUAGUUAAGAGUACUGUGAGACCGUGUGCCUGGCAGAACAGCAGAGUGGCGCAGCGGAAGCGUGCUGGGCCCAUAACCCAGAGGUCGAUGGAUCGAAACCAUCCUCUGCUAGGUCCUUUUUUUUUCUCCCCCCCCGUCUAUUUUCCUGAGGAUCCCUUUUUUUUAAGUUACAGUUUUUUAGGUUAAACAAUGACGAAAGAAAACAAAAUGAACCCGAGUAUUUCUUUAAUUCCAGAAUUACAAGCAUUUCCGGGAAAUAAUGUGAAACUACAAUCUCUGCAUGUACAAUUUUGAUUUUCAUGGACACCCAAGUGUCAUUAAUCAAUAUGUCAUCUGUAAACAAAGCAAAUUUCUCUUGUUUAGAGGCUAUACCACUGUUGCAGCCAGUUAUGACAGUUGUAAGUUAACCUGCCAAGCAAGGAGAAUGCUUACAUAAACUGAGUGCCAAGGGUGGGGUGGGGUGGGAGCCCAGGAAUGGAGUUUUAUAUCUUUUGAUACAUAAUUCAGAAAGCACUAUUUGCCAAGUAGUUAAGGCAAUCGACUAGGAAUUCCUAAAUCCCCACACAGAUUCUUUUCACCUACAAGGAUCUUAAUCUCGGAAAAUGAGUUGCAUUUUGAGGUGGGUGUGGAGUCUUCAUAGCACUGAUUGAACUCUGACCUGAGAAAAACAUUUUUGCGGACCCUACUGGUAAAUGUGUCUCUACUCUCUACCAUCCUUUAAUAUCUCAAAUAGAACUAUUCGCUGUGCUUAUUUUUUAAACAUAUGUGUGGACUGCUUUAUGCUUCUCUCUCUCAGAAAGGAUUCCUAUUCAGAUAUUUAUGUGUCACAUACUGUAUUAGGAACUAAGAAAAAAAAAAAACCUUAAGUAGUCUACAGUCUAGAUAUGCUUUUGUUGUUUUUGUUUUUUGUUUUUUGUUUGUUUAUUUGUUUUUGAGAUGAAGUCUCACUCUUGUUGCCCAGGCUGGAGUGCAGUGGCACGAUCUUGGCUCAUUGCAACCUCCACCUCCUGGGCUCAAGAGAUUCUCCUGCCUCAGCCUCCCAAGUAGCUGGGAUUACAGGUGCCUGCCAUCACACUCAGCUAAUUUUUGUAUUUUUAAUAAAGGCAGGGUUUUACCAUGUUGGCCAAGCUAGUCUUGAACUCCUAACCUCAGGCAAUCCGCCAGCCUUGGCCUCCCAAACUGCUGGGAUUACAGGCUUAAGCCAACGCACCUGGCCCAUAUGCUUUUAAACAAGUAAAUAUGUAGAGUGCAAUACAGUAAUUCUGUGAAAGGAUUGUACACUAAGUGCACUGGGAAUAAGGAAAAUAGUGCUUGUAAUCCCAUGACCACCCACUAAUUCAGUAAUUCACCAGAAGUAAUCACAUGACUCAGCAUACUCUCAGUUAAGAUUUAUUAUAUCUAUUGACCAUUUUUUGUUUGGGUUAAAGAACAUGUUUUAAAAAUAAAAACAAAAAAGAUUCAUUACAGCACAGGAUACAAUGCAAGAAAAGCAGAAAAAAUAUGUAUAUACACAGGUAAAUGUGGCUGUUACUAUAGGACUGAAUGAAGGAGGAUGAACACAGAAAUGAAGACAAAGACAAAAGGAUUUGUUUAAAAGAAGGGGUCAAGGGGCUCCUAGCUUCUAGAGAACAAGGGCCCUGAGCUUCUACAGCCCUUCGUAUUUAUUAGGUAGAGUGAACAAGGAGGAAGGGGUAACUGUCGGUCAGCUACUGGAUUUAUCACAGGCUGACGAUUGCUUUCUUUGUUCAACAGACUCUAGAUAUUCCUAUAGAUAACCUUAAGGAACACGGUGCCUGGGACGUGAUUGCUCUCAGCAUUCCUUCUAGUGGCAGAUGCACUUGUCAGUUUGCCAGCAUGCUGCUUUCAUGAGAACAGUUUGCUGUUUGCUCAUAUACCCUCCAGUGGUAUAUUGAGUUGGUCACGUCCCUCAUUCCUUUGGCCUCCAACAUCUCCCCCUUUUUGUUUUUGCAUUAAUUGAAUAAAGGCAAUUCCAGACUGCAGCUUUCAAUUGCCAGUUGGUGGUCCAGCCGAUUUUACAGACCAUAAACAGAAAACAGAGACACAAUAACAUUAUUCCUAUAAUUAUAAAAGAGACAUUGAGGUGCUGUUUAAAGUAGAUCCAAGGGUUAAGCUUCUCUAAACCUUGCUGGAAUUAGCUCCAAGCUUCUAAAGAGGGCUGAUACUCUUAAGUUUGCCUAUUCAGAUCAAGAAUUUUACUCUGUAAAUCAUUAAUAUCAAAAGUAACAUUGGAUGUAAAAGCCCCCUGCAAAUGGGCCUUUACAAGUCUCCAUGGAUAUUCACUUUGAUUAUAUUACACAAAUUAGUUACACAAAUAUAAGUAUGGUUAAAAUGACAAUGCAAUUGCUGCUGCAACUGCAAACAUUGUAUUUGUUCUCCUAGCCACAGGACAGUAGUCUUUAACAUUGCCACCUCUGUUUGUAUUUUGGUGUUAAUUUUAUUUUGAAGCAUCCGUGCCUGGUUGGCCAUAUGCGUCCAAUUUUUCACAUAUUCAGCUGUUUGAAUAGAGCUGUGCAGUGCUACUGAGGACACUACAAUAGAGGUUAUUAGUGUAACUAGGGAGACUGUACCAAAAAUUACCAUGCCUAAGGCUCUACAAGCACAGUGAGUGAGCUGAGUAAGAAGGAGUUGUACAAAAUAUAAAGCCGGGAUAGCCACCCAAGGCUCAAACAAAUUGACAGGAAUCCAUAAUCUGGGAAUGCAACCCGGAAUUAUUAAGGUGGAUAUGUUGUGUGUUUGUAUCGUGCUAUGAUUUAUGCAGUGAUACAGUUGACAGGAGUCACAAGUCAAAUGGGAGACGUUUACCUGGAGUUGGUCCUUUUUAGCCGCCAGAAAGAUACAGGGAUUAAAAACACAAAUUGUAAAUUGAGUGAUAAUAUUUCUUACAAAGGUAACAUUAAAACUGUGUUGAGUCCUAUUACUAUUAUUGGAUAGUGUCCUGACCCAGAUGCUGCCAUUCAUAAAUGGGAGUGCUAACUUCCAUAUCGACUGCUGAAUUGGGCCCCUCUUUCCUUGAUGACGCCGCUGAGGCAAAGGCGGACUAAAGCCUGUUCCGUGCCAAGCCAGUUGCGUGGCAGAUUAGGAUUGAAUCCCAAUGCGAUAUAGCGAAGAAAUGUUAAAUGUUCACCACCAGUGGCAGCGAAGUUUGUUCCAUGAGGUCUGAUUCUCAUCUCUCCCAAAUGACCACAGGGACCCCAGUCAAUAAUGUCUCCCAUUAACAUAGACUUGUCUAGCUAAGGGGUCAAGACACUGGAUCCAAGGAGGGGGGUGAGAAUUAUUGAAGGGAGCCCAUUCUGUAUAAUCAAUACAAUUUGGACGAUGGGGCUGGGAGAGAUUAGUAAAUCCACCAGUAAUAUUAUUAGAGCUAAGGCCUAAUAGGUACAUAAUGUUUCCAUGGUGACUCAACCAUGCCUGGGAUUGGACUGCAAGGCAACUGCCAUUGAGCGAUGUAUCCUUGGUGAUGCAUAAAGGGAGUCCCUCCAAUGGGGCAGUGUAAUUGAUACUAUUGUUCUGACAGUCUAAUAGUUCUGUGUCAGGGGGAGUUAGGGGUCCUGGGGUCCAUGCUCCCUGAUCACGAUAUACCUCAGGAGGAGUGUCACUCCAGAGUACAGGUCGCACUACUCAGGGGUUAGGAACAUAUGCCCGACAUGUUUUUGCUUCUACACAGGGGAAACAUACCACACAGGACACUACAGCUAGUAUGGCCAAGAACAUUGAUUCAGGGGUUUUUGCCUGACCCUGGCACUCCAGCAUUUUCUCAGCUUCCUGCAUGGUUUUCUUGAUCUGUCCCCAUGUUAUGAGGGUGGAUGUCAAUGUGACUCCAGUCGGCCCUUGUUCCAUCUUUGCAUUCAGAUUCAACUGGCCUAUGGCUUGUACUGGGGGAACCGGGCCCAUGGUUGCGAUCCACGGAUCCCUCCAGUCUCCCGUUCCAUGGUUGCACGUACCUGGAGGGCACCUACACAGUUUGUCCAUCUCCUGUAAAAACACAAGCAUACCCUCAUCCCCACAUCAGCAAAUCCACUGGGCCUUUCCUUUGUCCUUCUUCUGGGGAUUUCCAUAACACCUUUGGAUAAACUUGCCUCUUUCCCUCUAACACUUGCCAAUGUUGUUCUGCUAGAGUCUUACCAUCCAUACCAGGCAUCAAAAAAUUUAAAGUAAACAAGACUAAAUGUAAUUUUGUUUAAGGUGGUAGCUGGUCUCCUAUUCCCCCUUUUUUUCUCAACAUACGCUGUAGUGUUUGAUGUGCCCGCUCUAUAAUGCCUUGUCCUUGGGGAUUGUAAGGAAUUCCUGUUUUAUGAAUGAUUGCCCAUAACUGUAAAAAAUUUUGAAAAGCAUGACUAACAUAAGCAGGUCCAUUGUCAGUUUUUAAUUGUUUAGAGACCCCCAUAUGGGCAAAUGACGACAAACAAUGCCAUUGGACAUGGCCAGCAGUUUCCCCUGUUUGACAUGUGGCAUGUAACAUAUUGGAGUAGGUGUCUAUAGUCACAUGAACAUAGCUAAGUUUGCCAAAGGCUGCUGUAUGUGCAACAUCCAUCUGCCAGAUUUCAUUUGGAGCCAAGCCUCGUGGGUCGCAUCCUUCCACGGGUGCAACACCAGGGACAUGCUGACAAGUGGAGCAGGCUUGCACAAUAGCUUGAGCUUGACUGCAAGGCAGAUGAAACAUAUGAGUAAGGGCAGAGGUGUUUUGAUGCAGUAAUGCAUGGGAAGCUUGGGCUUGUUGGAAUACAGAACCAAUUAAUUUAUCUGCUUUAUCAUUACCUUGAGAUAGUGGUCCAGGAAGUUGCGUAUGAGAGCGAAUAGGAGCAGCACAAGAGAGAAUAGCUUGCUGAAGUCUUAGAAACAAAUUAAGCAGCUCUGGUUCUAGGGUGCCCUUAAUAGUGGCAGUCUCAAUGCAACUAGCUGCAUUUACAACAUAGGCUGAAUCACAAACAAUAUUAAUAGGAGAUAAAGCCGUGAGCUCUAAAACCUGAAUAACUGCGAUUAACUCUGAGCAUUGAGCUGAAACUCCAGAGAUCUUUAUUGUUUGAGUAUGUUUAGUUGCAUAAAUAGCUGUGCGGCCUUUGUAAGAGCCAUUGGUAAAAUAUGUCUUUCCACCUGGAAUGGGCUUGUGAUGGGUAAUUACAGGGAGGAUAAAAGGGUGAACUUUAUAAAAUUGCAAAAUCUUGUCUGAUGGAUAAUGGUUAUCUAUUAUUCCCACAAAAUCUGCAAAAGCAAUUUGCCAUGCAGUCGACAUUUCCCAUGCUGCGGCCUGUUGUUGGGAAUCCAAGGGAACAAUAAUUUUAUCAGGAUCAUAUCCCGUAAGCAUUUUUUACCUGUGCCUACCUAUUGUUAUAAGUUGAGUAAUUAAAGAAAGAUAAACUUGCAAAGAUUUCACUGUCAGAUUGAAUAAAAAAAAAAAAAGCCUUUAUAUUACCAUUACAGAUUUGUCUAUGAAUUGGCCUAAAAAUCCUGAUGGAGAAUGGGGGGUAGGAAGAAUAAACAAAAGCAAAGGCUUUUGUGGCUGUAGCCGGGAGGCAUGUUGUUGCUGAAGGAUCUGUUCUACACGCUGUCACUCAGCUUCUGCCUCGUUAGUAAGUUGCCGAGGAGAAUCUAAUGAAGAAUCUCUUUGGAGGGUUUGAUAAAGGUGUGUGAGUUGGUAGAUGGCAAUACCUAGCAUCAGGCACAGCCAAUUGAUAUCCCCUAAUAAUUGUUGGAAGUCAUUCAGAGUUUGUACCCUCUCCCUACAGAGAGUUACUUUCUGAGGCCGAACACUUCUUCCAGUAACAAUAGUACCUAAGUACUGGUAUGGGGAGGUUGUUUGCACCUUUUCAGGAGCUAUUUUGAGAUUCCAUGCAGUCAAGACUCAUUUUAUUUCCCUGAAUAACUGAUGUAACAUUUGAUCUGUAGGAGCGGCCAAAAGAAUAUCAUCCAUAUAAUGAAUGAUGUAGGCAUUGGGAAAUAUAUUGCGAGGCUCCUUUAAAGCUUUUCCUACAAAAUGCUGACAUAACAUAGGACUGUUGAGCAUGCCUUGGGCUAAAACUUUCCACUGAGAGCGAGAGACAGGCUCUCUUUGAUUAAUAGAAGGCACAGAGAAGGCAAAUUGAGGCUUAUCCUUUUUGUGUAAUGGUAUAUUAAAAAAAAAACUCUUUAAGACCUAUUACUACAAGAGUCCAAUCUCUUGGAAUGGCUGCUGAGGAUGACAGACCUUGCUGUAAUGCACCCACUGGUUUAAUCUGUGCAUUUAAUAGCUCUCAAAUCAUGUAGCAGUUGCCAUUUUCCUGACAUUUUUGGAUCACAAAUACAGGUGAAUUCCAGGGGCUGACUAUUCUGUAUGUUCUGCUUCCAGUUGCUCUCUCACUAGCUGAUGGAGUUGCAUCAGUUUCUCCUGUGAUAGGGGCCAUUGAUCCACCCACACAGGUUUGUCAGUCAGCCACUCUAGCGGCAAAGCAGUGGGUGGAGGAGAAAUACCAAUGACCCCCACCAAAAAUCCUGAUGACCUAGCCCUUUUCUGUUUUGUCCAGUUAUUGAUAUUGGAUCAGGGUUUCCCUGCAGGGGCUUUCCUAAGCCUUUUCCACUCUGAAUCCCAUUUUCUUUAACAUUUUAAAUCCUGGAUUAUCAAUAGUUUCCUUUUUAAGUCUCAUGUCCCAUGCUGUCAGUAAAUCUCGGCCCCAUAGAUUAACAGCUAUAUUUGCAACAUAAGGUUGAAAAGUACAUGACUGUCCAUGUGGUCUGAGACAGGAUAAAAUCUCAGCACUCCACUGAACACUUUGAGCUUUCCUAGUCCCACUAAGGAUGUAGAAGUUAAUUGCAGGGGUCAAGAUGGUGGGCCAAUAGUGUUUGGAUAUUACUAACACAUCAGCUCCCGUAUCCAUAAGCCCAUAGAACUUCUUUCCUUUAAUUUGCACUGUACAGGUGGGUCGAUUAAAUGCUAUGGGUUGUGAUAGAUAAAUUUACCGCCUAGUUGUACUUCCAAAUCCUUGAUUCCCUCGUUUUUCCUUUCAUGGGGAAGGGUGCAACUUGCAGGGAAUAAGCAAUAGUUGAGCAGUAUAUUCUCCCAGUUCAAAAACCCAAAGAUCUUGUGACAUUACUACUACUUGAAUUUCUCCUUCAUAAUCACAGUGAACAACUCCGGGGACCAUGGUAAUGCCCUGUAAGUUAAGACGGCUUUUGCCCAAAAUUAAUCCCAUAUAUCCUGUUGGCAAAGGUCCCCAAAUACCAGUGGGAAUCUUCGUGGGUUUGUCUCCUCCAACAAAUGUAACCCGUUCUCUGACUGGAAGAUCUAAUCCUGUGCUUCUGGGUGUUCCUGGGGAGAGGGAAUCAAUGUUCUUCUGGGAACCCAUCCCUGAAAUGGGGCUGUGGCCUGGAUGGGGAAUGCCCUCAUUGUUUGAGGGGCCCGGAUCCAGGCCCCCUUCUCGUUUCCCGACAGGGGGGUGCUAUUCUGAUGAAAUUUUGAGCGGCAUUGAUUAACCCAAUGAUUUCCUUUAUUACAACGAGUGAAAAGUCCUGGCAUUUUUUCUGUCUGGGGGAACUGCAUUAUAAGAUCCUCUCUGCCCAGAGGUCUGAUGGCAUUCUUUUUUGAAAUGUCCAAUUUUUCCACAAUUAUAACAUUUUCCUACUUUAGGGCUUGACCCUUGGCCCUUUCUAGAUUUGUUACUACUAAAUUAGCCAUUGCUUGAGCCAACAUUGUAGAAUGAUGGAGUUCAGUUCCCACAUCCUGACAGGCUUUGAGAAAUUUUCCUAAGAUCUUUGCAGACCUCACAGGUGCCAGAGCACGUUUACAAUCUGCACUUGCAUUUUCAAAAGCUAGAGUCAAAGUAAGCAUUUCUGCAGCAGCGGUAUGAGGAAUCUGAUGCCUCACUGCCUCUUGUAAUUGUACAACAAAAUGUGCAUAGGACUCCUGCGACCCUUGCAUAACUUGUAGAAAAGAUUGUACUGGGACUCCUUGCUCUGGAAUGGUGUCCCAGGCGCGUUUAGCAGCCAAGGCAGACUGCUUGUAAGCAGUGCCUGGGAGUGUCAAUUGUCGCAGCAGAUCUGAAUAAGGGCCAUUACCCAGUUGCAUAUCCUCUGUAAUGUCCCCGUGUCCAGCAGCACGAUUCUGUCUAGUCUGGUCUGCACACAGUUCUAGCCAGUUUAAAUUCCAUGUCAGAUAUGCACUACCAGACAAACAAGUGUGAGCCAAAUGCUUUAUAUCAAAGGCUGGAAGGCACAUAGCACCGAGUACAGAUUCUAGCAAUCCUAAAGUAAAUGGGCUCUGUAUUCCAUUAUUAACUACACUAGCUUUUAAUUCCUUCAACAACUUAAACUCUACCGGGGUGUGUUCAUAAGUAAACUGCUGUGGAUUAUUCAGAUUGGGCCUUACGGAAAUAGGAAAAGCGCAAGGUCCUAGGGGCUCUCCAGCUAUGGCAGCAGCGCAGAGAAUUCUUUGUGUUGGGGUCUCUUUCUGCUACUGAAGGAGGCGGUAUAGAUGUUUCUGCUAUUGGGGGGAUGGUACAGGCCAAUUUUCGUCCUUUCCUGUUUAUCAUUUUCUUUUCUUUUCUUUUUUUUUUUUUUUUGAGACAGAGUCUCGCUCUGUCACCCAGGUUGGAGUGCAGUGGCACGAUCUCAGCUCACUGCAAGCUCCGCCUCCCGGGUUCACGCCAUUCUCCUGCCUCAGCCUCCCAAGUAGCUGGGACUACAGGCACCCACCACCACGCCUGGCUAAUUUCCUUGCAUUUUUAGUAGAGAUGGGGUUUCACUGUGUUAGCCAGGAUGGUCUCAAAUCUCCUGACCUCACGAUGCGCCCACCUCGGCCUCCCAAAGUACUGGGAUUACAGGCGUGAGCCACUGUGCCUGGCCUCCUGUUUAUCAUUUUCAAUGCAUGCUGUGGGUGAGACAAAAGAUUCUUUCAAUUUUUGAGAUUCAGAACAUGGCUCCUGUGGUCCAGCAGAAUAAGAAGGGGACAAUGGCAGAAGGACAGUACAGACUAAACCCCAGAGAAAACAGAAGGAUCAACUUUGAGACCUUUUUGAUGAGCCCGUUUUAAUCUGUCUCCUACUGGGUCCCAAUUUUCCACAUUGAGGGUGCCUGUCUGUGGAAACCAUGGGUUAUGCAUAAUAAACUCCUGCAGAAGCUUAGUUAGUGUUUGAGAGCUAACCUGAGCAUUAAGCAACUGCACAUAAUGUUGCUCCUCCAUAGACAAAUUCUGCCCCAUGUUACCCUGAUUCAGAAACUUCCCGCUCCCAGUACCUCCUCAGGGCACUGACUUUAUAUCCUCCUCUGGCUGACUCGUCCUGGGGUUCCUCGUUCAUCUGAUCAGUUUCACUUUCUCUGCUCCAGCAGACCUUCUUCAUUCAAGUCUCUGUUUGGGUGCCAUUGUGGCUGUUACUGUAGGACUAAACGAAGGAGGACAAAUGCAGAAAUGAAGACAAAGACAAAAGAAUUUGUUUAAAAGAAGGGGUCAGAGGGCUCCUUGCUUCUAGAGAACAAGGGCCCUGAGCUUCUACAGCCCUUCAUAUUUAUUACGUGGAGUGAACAGGGAGGAAGGGGUAACUGUUGGUCAGCUACUUGAUUUAUCACAGGCUCACAUGAUUGCUUUCUUUGUUCAACAGACUCCAGAUGUUCCUAUAGAUAACCUUAAGGAACACGGUGCCUGGGACGUGGUUGCCCUCAGCAUUCCUUCUGGUGACAGAUGCAGUUGUCAGUUUGCCAACAUCCUGCUUUCAUGAGAACAGUUUGCUGUUUGCUCAUAUACCCUCCAGUGGUAUAUUGAGUUGGUCACGUCCCUCAUUCCUUUGGCCUCCAACAGGUGAAGGCUAAAGAAGGCUUUCUCAUCCAACGUCUUCACUGAGGAUAGGAAAGCCCUUUCUCUCCAAUUGUGAACUGCACGCAUGUGUGUAAGCUAUGCUUGCAUAGCAAAGUCCACUUGGGCAUUAGAGUCAAAGUUGUUAAGGGGAGCUAGUCAUAGCUACCACGUGGCCAGGCAUGUGGAACCAGACACCAGGCACACAUCAUGAAUCAUCAUAUUUACUUUAAAUAAUGCUGACAACCUAGUUCAUAGUGACACACUACUUGAGAUAUAUAGAAUAACAUUAUUACCCAGUAAGUAUGUGAACAUUCCGAUAUUUUAGUAAGGGUCAUCACCAUGGCACUUAUCUACAGAGAUAAAUGAAAACUAAAACAGGGUUGCUGCAUUAAUUUUGCCCUGGCAAUUGUCUGAUUCUGAAAUGGUGGCAGGUUUUGAGCCAAAACUUGAAUGAGUAAGAACUUGCCAUAUAGCCGAGAAGAGCACUCUAGCAAAAAGAAAUAAAUAUAAGGAAGCAUAAUAGUUAAAGGUUUUUAAGGAACUACAAAUAAUUCAGUGUGAUGAAGUAUGGAGGUGAGGUCAUGUGAGGGAGAGGGAUUUGGAGAGAAAAGUGGCUGUGUUCCGAUCACCUCCUGUGCACCUGUUGAAAGACAAUAAAUUCUCCUGCCCUAAAUAGUAAGAAGGCUGGACACAUGACCUCAACACUGAAUAAAUGAGACUGGCAGAAAUUUAUUAGUCAUAUGUACUCACAGCCUGGAAAAAAGAGGGCACUGCAUACCGUGCAAGGCCACAGAAGGUUUGCACUCAGGAACAGAAUGAACCAUUAGGGGCUGUGAGAGGUAGGCUUUGUAGUCAUCAGAGGGUUGGGUGACUCCUGGUUCCCUCCAGAGAAUGUAGUUGGCUUGCUUUAACAGUUUUAGGGACUGGCAGUGAGACGAAACCCAUUAGGUUGAGGCCUGAGUGAGAUGCAGCUGGUCUGUCAGAUAAGGGAACUGGACAAGUAGGGAACCUUUCCUGCUUGUGGGAGUCAUAGCUAUCAAGACAGGGGAAUUUGUGGAUAAGCAUUUUUGGGGAGCUCUGUGAGGGUCAAAAAUCUCAAGGCAGCAGUUGAAAUUUUAGGUCUUACAAUACCUAAAAUUGGUUUGGAGUUAUGGCAGAACAAAAAGGGAAAGAACAGGUCAUAAGGGCGUGAGUAUACAAGGCAAACACUUGGAUUUUAUUUUUCAGUGGGCAAUAGGAAACCACUGACCAAUUGUGAGCAAAGAAUAUUAUUCCAGUUCUCUUCUGAGAAAAAAAAGUCUCUGUCCCAUUCCAGGAGGUGCAGCAAUCAAUCAAUCAAUCAAUAAGGGGGGAAAUAAAGGAAAAAAGUCUUUAGAGUUUUCAUGUUUAUGAUCUGGUCCUUGAUUGGUUUAUUUUUCAGCAAGUCACUUCUUUUCUAACUUGGGAAAGGGAAAGUUUGGGACUGUAUAUAUUUAUUUAAAUCUGACCACUCCACACUAGUCAUCUCCACUUGAAUGUUCAAUACACAACUUGAAGUAAAUGCUGAAACAGAUUCUAGAUCCCCACCACACACAUACACACUCCACUCUCAAAAUGCUCUUUCUGAAGUCAUUCCUGUCUCAGUAAAUGCAAACUGUGUUGUUACAGCAAAAGAAACUGGAGAUAUAUAUGACUUUUCUAUUUAUUUCACACCAAUUUAAUCACAAACCCUUUAAAACAUACCCAGAAUUCAACCACUCCUUGAUACUUCUACAAACACUACCCAUAAUGGUUUAUGGGUCAUCCAGAUAUUAUAAUAGCCUUUCAAUCAAUCUUCUCCAGGAAGGAGAAAGAGAGAGCAACAAAGAUUUUUGCAGAAUAGAAGAAUAUUGUUAAAUAAUUAUCACAUUGGCCGGGCGUGGUGGCUCACGCCUGUAAUCCCAGUACUUUGAGAGGUCAAGGUGGGAGGAUCAGCUCAGGUCAGGAGUUCGAGACCAACCUGGCCAACAUAGUGAAACCCCGUCUCUACUAAAAAUACAAAAAUUAGCCAGGCAUUGGUGGUGGGCGCCUGUAAUCCCAGCUACUUGGGAGGCUGAGGCAGGAGAAUCGCUUGAACCUGGAAGGCAGAGGUUUCGGUGAGCUGAGAUGGUGCCACUGCACUCCAGCCUAGGCCACAGAGUGAGACUCUGUCUCAAAAAUAAUAAUAAUAAUAAUAAUAAUAAUAAUAAUAAUUCUCACAUUGAAGAUGAUUGCAGAAUUCGAAAAUAAAUGAGAAAUUCGGCAUAUUUUUAUUGAGCUCCUACUAUUUGUCAGAUGUUAUUCUAUGGAUAGGGAAAGAAAGACUAUGUAAAAGGCCCAAUUUCUAUGCACCAGAAGCCGCUAUAUUUGCUAACCAAGAGAAACCAAGACUUAUCACAAAUGAGCCAGGAGAGCCAUUAUUCCCAGUAUCUGGGGUUUAGGAAAAUUAAGGAAAUGUCUUAUAUGUAGGCUGUUGACAUUAUCUUCAAAUGAAGUACUUGACUUCACAGAGAUUCACUGACAGGCUUGAAAGAAGCCACACAAAAUAGAACUUUAUAUGCCAUGAUGGGGCCAAGAGCGCUACGGAACAUUAUAAAUUCUAUAAAUAUCUUCUCCAUAGUAUGAUGCUAAUGCAUUACAUUUUCGUGUUGAUUCAUCUAUUAAAUGUAAAAAUUGUUAAUAAUAAAAAUUUUUGCAUUUCUAUUUCGUGUUCCUUCACUUCUUAAUAUAUGGGAACCUCAAAAACUGGUAAUGGCUCUAGUCCGCUCGGCACUCCUGAGAAACCCCAAGGAAAGUAUUUUCUUUCCUUUCUAAACAGAACCAUACCACGAAAAGUGCUCUGAUAUCACAUUAUCACAAUCAGAGAAAGUACCAGAACAGCAUGGAGAGGGGGUAAUUGUCUCCGGGGUCUGCAGAUAUCCAUGCAGGAUGGCGAGAAAGACCACGGUACAGAUGUUGCCUUGUGGUAAAACUGCCUUCCAGGUACAGUUUUCUUAACAACUAUCUGGGCAGACCCUGCAAGAACCUAGUCUGUAAAUGGUGAAUGUGGAUGAGCAUCAUAGGGAAGAAACCUUGAGUAAGCUUAUUUUAACAUAUCCUUCGAUGCAGACAAUAUGCAGAAUUUUAGCAUCUUUUAGAUGCCAUAAACUCCGCUUCUUCUGCCUUGGGAGUCAGAACAAACGACUUUUCUCUCCAAGGAGUAGUUAUAUUACCACAAGACUAAAAUAAUUGUCGAUACCAACCGUUUAUAAAUCCCGAUUCUGUGGCCCCAAAUAUCCCACCUAAUCUAAAG
rnacentral:lncRNA from 1 species